rnacentral:rRNA from 1 species
CCUACGGGAGGCAGCAGUAGGGAAUCUUCCACAAUGGGCGAAAGCCUGAUGGAGCAACGCCGCGUGGGUGAAGAAGGUCUUCGGAUCGUAAAACCCUGUUGUUAGAGAAGAAAGUGCGUGAGAGUAACUGUUCACGUUUCGACGGUAUCUAACCAGAAAGCCACGGCUACCUACGUGCCAGCAGCCGCGGUAAUACGUAGGUGGCAAGCGUUAUCCGGAUUUAUUGGGCGUAAAGGGAACGCAGGCGGUCUUUUAAGUCUGAUGGGAAAGCCUUCGGCUUAACCGGAGUAGUGCAUUGGAAACUGGGAGACUUGAGUGCAGAAGAGGAGAGUGGAACUCCAUGUGUAGCGGUGAAAUGCGUAGAUAUAUGGAAGAACACCAGUGGCGAAAGCGGCUCUCUGGUCUGUAACUGACGCUGAGGUUCGAAAGCGUGGGUAGCAAACAGGAUUAGAUACCCCAGUAGUC